rnacentral:rRNA from 1 species
UGUUUCGGCUAGGGGGUCAUCCCGACUUACCAACCCGAUGCAAACUACGAAUACCGAAGAAUGUUAUCACGGGAGACACACGGCGGGUGCUAACGUCCGUCGUGAAGAGGGAAACAACCCAGACCGCCAGCUAAGGUCCCAAAGUCAUGGUUAAGUGGGAAACGAUGUGGGAAGGCACAGACAGCCAGGAUGUUGGCUUAGAAGCAGCCAUCAUUUAAAGAAAGCGUAAUAGCUCACUGGUCGAGUCGGCCUGCGCGGAAGAUGUAACGGGGCUAAACCAUGCACCGAAGCUGCGGCAGCGACACUAUGUGUUGUUGGGUAGGGGAGCGUUCUGUAAGCCUGCGAAGGUGGCCUGUGAGGGUUGCUGGAGGUAUCAGAAGUGCGAAUGCUGACAUAAGUAACGAUAAAGCGGGUGAAAAGCCCGCUCGCCGGAAGACCAAGGGUUCCUGUCCAACGUUAAUCGGGG